rnacentral:rRNA from 1 species
ACGCUCGACACCUACGGGGGCAGCAGUGGGGAAUAUUGCACAAUGGGGGAAACCCUGAUGCAGCGACGCCGCGUGAGUGAAGAAGUAUUUCGGUAUGUAAAGCUCUAUCAGCAGGGAAGAAGAUGACGGUACCUGAGUAAGAAGCCCCGGCUAACUACGUGCCAGCAGCCGCGGUAAUCUGAGGCGGCUGGCAAGGC